ACGGGAGGCAGCAGUGGGGGAUAUUGCACAAUGGGGGAAACCCUGAUGCAGCGACGCCGCGUGAGUGAUGAAGUAUUUCGGUAUGUAAAGCUCUAUCAGCAGGAAAGAUAAUGACGGUACCUGACUAAGAAGCACCGGCUAAAUACGUGCCAGCAGCCGCGGUAAUACGUAUGGUGCAAGCGUUAUCCGGAUUUAUUGGGUUUAAAGGGUGCGUAGGCGGAGCAUUAAGUCAGCGGUGAAAUAUCCCGGCUCAACCGGGAGGCUGCCGUUGAUACUGAUGGUCUCGAGUCCGAACGGCGCCGGCGGAAUAUGUAAUGUAGCGGUGAAAUGCAUAGAUAUUACAUAGAACACCGAUCGCGAAGGCAGCUGGCGAGGACGGCACUGACGCUGAGGCACGAAGGUGCGGGGAUCAAACAGGAUUAGAUACCCUGGUA
rnacentral:rRNA from 1 species